UUUAAUUCCCGCCCAGUGAGCGGUCGAGGGAAAACGAAAGUGGAAGAAAUCGACAGAGAAACCAGCGAAGAGAAUGGCGAAGAAGGGAAAUGCGAGCACAGUGGAUGACGUUGAUCGAUUGUUCGAAUGCUUCAAGUGUGGCAUCUCUCCUCCUCAAUCUGCUGUAAGGGAAAGAAAAAGACGUAAAAGCAAGCUGAAUCAAGAAAAUUCAGCAAGAAAGGUAUCUGCAUCACCUUGUACGCCGUCCUUAGAAUCAGCCGAACAAGGAAAGGAAACUGGAAACAAUGCACAACUCUCCGUUGAGAAGUGUGUUUCAACAAUGGUGAAGGUCGGAAAAUUUAGCCGUGGGAAACAGAUCUCACCAGUUAUAUUUUAUGGGUCUCCACAUGGCAUCCCUCCAAAAAGGCCAUUGAGUCUACUGCGUUUGUUACAUGAAAUUCGCAUUGACCUCAGUGAACAAGAGGAAUCCAAUUUAAGAACAGAAGUAUGGGUUACAUUUCCAAGACAGGAUGAAGCAGUAAAGUUUGCUAAAGGACAUGCCAAUGCACGUGUUUUUAGUUAUCAAGACCACUAUAGUGGGCAAAGAAGAUAUCUUGCUUCUACAUAUGAGGAGUUCUGGAAGAGGUACAAAAUUAUGGAUUCAAAAUUUCGCCAUCACUAUGAAGUGAUUCAGGAGGGUUUUCCAUGCCACCUGUACUUCGAUUUGGAGUUCAAUAAGAGAGACAAUGUGGGAAGGGAUGGAGACAAAAUGGUUGAUCUGUUGAUUUUGGUCAUUCUAGAAGCCUUACUUGAAAAAUAUUCUGUCAAUGGAAAUCAAGAUUGGGUGGUGGAACUUGAUUCAUCUACUGAAGAGAAGUUUUCCCGCCAUUUGAUCAUGCGCAUACCAAAGACAGCUUUUAAGGACAACUCACACGUGGGUGCAUUUGUUGCAGAGAUAUGCUCACGUAUAGCAAGUGCAAGGGAAAGGGAUAAAAGGUUUGAAACAUUAUAUGUGAAAAAGGCUUCGACCUCUGCUGAAUCACCUGGCCAACUUUUUGUGGACAAUGCUGUAUAUUCUAGAAAUCGUUGCUUUCGUCUGGCUCUAUCAUCAAAGGCCGGAAAGGCUUCCUUCCUCUUACCUACAGGGCGAUUCAAAUGUAAGGAAAUGGGUGAGGUGGACAUGUUCAUGGCAUCCCUAAUCUGCAACAUGGAUGUUGAUUGUGAGAAACUUUUGGUGUGCAAAAUGGAAUUAGAUUGUGUCAAGACUCUUCACUUUGAGACAGAGGUAACGAGUAAUUUUGGAAGAUAUUGCAGAGCUCCUCAAGAAAACACUUAUAUUAGUGAUGUUUCUACAACAUACUUAACGGGAAAGUCACCCUUCCCAUCUUUGGAUGAAUUUAUAGAAUCAAUUGCCUCCACCGGGAAUGUAUCAGGUAGUGUCAUGUACUUUAACUUAAGUAGCAAAUGACUAGCAUGUUUCAGUUAUCUGGAGGGAAAUCUAAGCCCUAUUAUGUGAUAACUAGCAGGAUGAGUUAAGUUGUUCUGGUUGAAAGAUUUUGUUAUGUUUAUUGUGGAUGUCUGUAGAUGUUUACUGUGGACUUGACUACAUAGUUCAAUAUUAUCUGGUUAGCUAUACAUUUCAAUGCAGCAUAUAUUGUUUCAAGUGUUGGGUUCUUUUUGAUUUGAGGGAGUUUGGUCUGACAUUUUUUAUCUUGUUGUUUGUUUAGUUGUAUUAUGCUUCGCCAGAGAGAUUUUGAUGAGAGGAAUUCUACUUGAUUAUUUUCCUUUGUUCAUAUAAGACAAUAGUAUUAUCAAUAAUAUCCAAUUUUUUUACCUCUGCUCUCAUAAUGCUUAACAAAAUUUCAUGUUAUUAAUUUUCUUCAUCUACUACUCACUUUCCUGAUAAUUUGCUGCGAUUGUAGGGAAAAUUCGAAGCUGGUAUUGGUUCUCCGAGUAUGGAUUAAUUGUUUACAGCAUGUCAAGAAAUAGAUACUGUGAGCGAAUUGGUAGAGAGCAUAAGAGCAACCAUGUGAUGUAUGUUGUUGAUAUGAGAAGGGCAGCUUAUUAUCAG